UCUUUGCCUUAUCCGCAGGUGAUGGUAUCCACGGUAAUGCUGUCACUCCUCCUUGCUUAUCUUCGCAACCCCCCCCCCCUUCAAUCCCUUGCUCUUAGGUAGCAGCAGAAGUUUAGAGUUAAUCCAGUAAAAUUGAUGAGUCGGCCCAGAAUUGGCAGAGAAGUACUUUCCCUCACCACUCAAAGCAUGAUGAGAACCUCAGAAGCCUGUGAAUGGAUGAGUAGGAUCAUCUUUAGAAUGAAAUCAACAGCGAAAGAAGUCUGAAGGUAGCAGGAAGGUAUUCUGUUUGGAAAAUAGUCUGAGUCAUGUGGGAGCUUAUCUAAUUAUUGCUACUUUCACCUGCUGGUUUGGCUUUUGCUCCUAAAAUCAGCUCUUGAUCAGCUUACAGAGGACAUGCAGCUUGCUCUCUUAUAAGCAAAGAAGCACCUCAAAUGGGUGGGAAUUGUAUGGCGUCCCAAGGCUGCAUUGUGGCUCCCAAAGCCUUGUAAAAGAAAAAUAACCCUAUGAAUGUAUUUAACCACCUAUUUAAAGACAGAAUCUGAGCUCCAAGGCAUGUGGUUCUUUUAUUAAAUAAGGUGUGCCCUCACUUACCUCAGUUGUUACUAUAAUAAUAAUAUGCUGUCAAGCCACUUCUGAAUUAAUAACUACCAGAAGGUCGUAUUGUUAACAGCCCUGCUCAGGUCUUCCAGACUCAAGGGUACGGCAUUCCUUACUGAAUAUGGCAUGGAUCUUUUGCUUUUCUUGCUGCUUUCAACUUUCCCUAGCACUGCUGUUUUUUCCAGUUAAUCCUGCCUUCUCAUGGUACAUCUAAAGGAGAAUAGCCGCAAUUUAGUCAUCUCUGCUUCUAGAAAAUCAGGCUUGAUUUGAUCUGGUACCCAUUUAUUUGGCUUUCCGGCUAUCCAUUAUAUCUAUAAAGCUCUCCUCCAACAUGACAUUUUGAAGGAAUGAAUAUUUUUCCUGACAGCUUUUAUAUGCAUGCAUAGUAGUCAAGAAUACCACCAUAUUGAUAAAGUUGGCCUUAGUCUACAAUAACACAUCCUUGCACUCAUGAAUUUCCUCUAAUACCUUCAUAGGCACCUAUCAAGGUCUCUGCUUCCUUCCAGUUUCUUGGCUGCAAUCUUCAUUUUUAUUGAUAAGUAUACCAAGGUAUAGAAAAUUGUCAACAAUUUCAAUUUAAAGUCAUGUAAUUCUUAUGGAUUCAUGAUUUUUGUCUUUAUGCUUCUGCACUUUCUUCUUUAAUCUUCAUCACCAAUUAUUUCAGGUC
rnacentral:lncRNA from 1 species